GCAUUGGUGUUUAGUGGUAGAAUUCUCACCUUCUAUGCGGGAAAUUUGGUUCAAUUCCUGGCCAGUGCA
rnacentral:tRNA from 1 species